rnacentral:lncRNA from 1 species
CCGAAAGUUUCUGGUAACUAUCGAUUUGGUGGAAACGAGAGACAUAUCAAUCCACUUUGCGAACAACACAAUUCGAAACCCUACAAUUCUUUUUUUUUGAUAUUUUUCUUUUACUUAGGAGCACUCAAGAAGUAACCACAGGAAAUUUGAGCUUAAACAAGUGAAAUACGUGGCCUGUGGAAUUUUAUGAAGAUUGUGAAAAAUAUGAAAAAAAUUUUAGGAGGUGAAAACUCAAACUUCAGAGGCGAAUUUGGGGAUCCAAAAAUUGUUGAACCCGCCUUUGGCAGGGAUAGACAGAUCCAAAAAUUUUUUC